GGGUCCGCCCGUUUCUCUAAUCAAGCUGUAACACUCGCCGCUGUGGUCCACAGUUUCAUUCCUUGAAGCCCGUGAGACAGGAACGCUUCGAUUGAGAAAAACCUUCCAUCAGAAGAAGACUUCUCAUCUCAAUGGGACUGCUGAGUUGAGUGAAACGAGGUUUCACCAUGUUGCCCAAGCUGGUCUCGAACUCCUGGAUACAUGCUAUCCACCUGACUCAGCCUCACGAAGUGGUGGGACUACAGAAAAUGAACAGGACUAUUCUUCCUCAAACAAAGAGAUCAUGUGAUGAAGACUCACCAGGGCUGUUCUCUAUAAGCUUGAAGAGCAAUGGUAUCAGGUGCUUUUUUUUUUUUCCUGAAGCUUUGGUAGUGUAACUGAAAGAGUCCUGGAAUUGGAAAAGAAAAUCCAGAAGUUGAGUUCCAUGACUUUUUUGCUGUUUGCCUUUGGACUUACAUCAUUUAUAUUUUUAAUUCAUCGAGGAUGAGAAAAUUGAUUAACACAAAAUCUUUUCAUGUCUUUUCUGAUGAGAGACUAACUGAGUCCAAGAAGAGAAGCCCUUGAAGAGUGUAUUGAAUUUUAGACAAGCAUUCACACAUUGGCUUCUUUGGUGCCAGGUAAUUAGAAUUUGUAAUUUGGUAUUAAUUAAAUUGCAGACUACACAAAGGCCUUGAUCAGUGGCCUUUU
rnacentral:lncRNA from 1 species